AUAAAAACCCGAACUCUAGUUUUUCCCUAAAUCCCCCGCCGCACUCCCUCUUCCCUGAGCCCUCUCCCUCUCUCACGAUUUUCUCUCUAUUCCAUCGACGAUCUCCCUUCUUUGUUGAGCCACGGCAGCCGGCUCUCCUCCUCGCGUGAGCACCGCGGCGCCGCCUCCUCUACCCUUACCGAACCUCUUCUCCCUCACGCGAGCAACCGCCGACGAUCUUCUCCCUCACAUGAGCACCAGUCAGAAAUCUCUCCCUCACGCGAGUACCAGCCGACGAAUAAUGAAGGGGUGGCCUUAGUGCGUGGGUGUUGUUUGAUUUUAGUUGUAGUUAUCCUCUAUGAGAAUAAUGGGUAAAGGUAACAUGAGAAGGUAAUAUUGUUUUAGUUCAUGCCAUGCUCUGCUCGUGAGAGGGGUUGGGCUAGCAAUACUAUGCUAUAGAUGCCAUGCUCGAGCUUCUCUAGAUUUAGCUUUGAACAACUUUAACCAAAUUUGAACUCAUGAUACCUCAAUAAUGGUUUUCUUCCAAUAUGUACUUGAGUUAUUUGAAUUGAAUACGCAUGACUUGCAAUUCCAAUAGGAUCACUUCUUCUUAUCAGUUUGGAAAUUUUCGUACAGAUUUGGAAGUAAGGGGAAUUGGUGUGAUUUAAUAGUUCUUCUUUUGAUCAGAUUGAACAAAAUAAAUGACAAAAAAAAUAUAGUUGGAUAAGUAUGUGAUGAUAACUCAUUUUCCGCAAAGGUUUAACUAAUUAUCAUACAUGUAUGUGAGUCCCUUGCUGUGCUUUUAUCGUUGAGGUUGCUUUACCAUGUUAGUUUGGUAUUUCUGUGUUAGAUUUUGGUGGCAUGCAACCUAGUUGUUGCUCCUUCUUGGUUCUCUAGGGCUAUGCAGAAUUUUAAUAUUUGAAUGAAAAAAAAAAUCUAUUAGGUUGCUGUAUCAGUUUGUGUUCUUAUGGGUUCUUUAUGAAGGAUAGUAUAAGACUAUGUAUGUUUACUGGUAAACUAUGAUAUGCAUUGAGUCAUCUGUGAUUUAUAUUUAAUCCUUCAUGAUAAUUGGAUGCUUAGGGGUAUGUGUAUGGUAACAAUACGGGAUAGGUGCUCCGGGAUGAGCUACGGGGAGGGCUCCUCCAUAUAGAUAUGAUAAUGAAGAAUAUGAUGGCUUAAACCAUAAGAAUACAAGUCUCCUAAGAGGUACCUCUAGAGUUCGAUAAUGGACUGACUAAACAGGCUCAAAUGACGGUUACCAUGCUCUGACUAAACAGGCUCAAAUAUCGAUGAGGAAGAUACCACCCAGAACGGGACGAUGGACUCGGAGGCGGAGUAGCUGAGGAUGUGAGGUCGGAUGCAUCACACUAUCUAGGGGCUCUAGGUGUCAGUUAGUAGUCAUUUCCUAUGAUUGUUAUGGUAGUAUGGGAUGAAGACUACUUGUUAGCUUGCUUCGGUAGGAGGUCACAAAUGUUUCUUUAAAGAUGUGUGUUUUUUUUUCUUUGACGUUUUAUAUGAUUACAGAGAAAAAAAUAAUCUGGACAAAUGUGUGAUGCAAUGAUGUUUCAUUUAAAUGUGAAGUUUAUGUUUUAGUUCUUAGCAAAUCA